rnacentral:tRNA from 1 species
GCGGGAGUCGGUCAAUGGCAGGCCGCUCCCUCGCCAGGGGAGAGAUCGCGGUUCGAUUCCGCGUUCCCGCA